UACGUAGGGGGCUAGCGUUGUCCGGAAUCAUUGGGCGUAAAGCGCGUGUAGGCGGUCCGGUAAGUCCGCUGUGAAAGUCGGGGGCUCAACCCUCGAAUGCCGGUGGAUACUGUCGGGCUAGAGUGCGGAAGAGGCGAGUGGAAUUCCUGGGUGUAGCGGUGAAAUGCGCAGAUAUCAGGAGGAACACCUAUUGCGAAGGCAGCUCGCUGGGACGUAACUGACGCUGAGACGCGAAAGCGUGGGGAGCAAACAGG
rnacentral:rRNA from 1 species